rnacentral:rRNA from 1 species
GAUUCCCCUAGUAACUGCGAGUGAAGCGGGAAAAGCUCAAAUUUAAAAUCUGGCGUCUUUGGCCGUCGACUUGUAGUCUGGAGAAGUGCUUUCCCCUGGACCGUGUAUAAGUCUCUUGGAACAGAGCGUCAUAGAGGGUGAGACCGUCUUUACACGGACUACCAGUGCUUUUAUCCUCUCAAAGGUCGAGUUGUUUGGGAAUCAGCUCAAAUGGGUGGUG